rnacentral:rRNA from 1 species
UUGCCUCAGUAACGGCGAGUGAAGCGGCAACAGCUCAAAUUUUAAAGCUGGCGUCUUUGACGCCCGCGUUGUAAUUUGGAGAGGCAUCUUCGGUUUGGGCGCCAGCCUAUGUUCCUUGGAACAGGACGUCACAGAGGGUGAGAAUCCCGUGCUUGGCUGGCUGUCCCUUUCCAUGUGAAGUGCCUUCGACGAGUCGAGUUGUUUGGGAAUGCAGCUCAAAAUGGGUGGUAAAUUCCAUCUAAAGCUAAAUAUUGGCGGGAGACCGAUAGCGCACAAGUAGAGUGAUCGAAAGAUGAAAAGCACUUUGAAAAUAGAGUUAAAAAGUACGUGAAAUUGUUGAAAGGGAAGCGCUUGAGACCAGACUCGGCCGGAGAUGAUCAGCCGUCCUUCUGGGCGGUGCACUUGUCUCCGGUCGGGCCAGCAUCGGUUGAGACGGCGGGAUAAAGGCCCGGGGAAUGUGGCUCCUUUCGGGGAGUGUUAUAGCCCCGGGCGCAAUGCCGCCAGCCUCGACCGAGGACCGCGCUUUUUGCUAGGAUGCUGGCGUAAUGGUCUUCAGCGACCCGUCUUGAAACACGGACCAAGGAGUCUAACAUCUAUGCGAGUGUUUGGGUGUCAAACCCUUGCGCGUAAUGAAAGUGAACGGAGGUGGGAACCCCUUCGCGGGGCGCACCAUCGACCGGUCCUGAUGUCUUCGGAUGGAUCUGAGUAGGAGCAUAGCUGUUGGGACCCGAAAGAUGGUGAACUAUGCCUGAAUAGGGUGAAGCCAGAGGAACUCUGGUGGAGGCUCGCAGCGGUUCUGACGUGCAAAUCGAUCGUCAAAUUUGGGUAUAGGGGCGAAAGACUAAUCGAACCAUCUAGUAGCUGGUUCCUG